UACAGCUAUAUCAUGCUGAAACACCGGUUUCCGUUCGAUCACCAAAGUUAAACAACAUCGAGCCUGGUCAGUAUUUAGAUGGGUGACCGUUUGGGAAUGCCAGGAGCUGUAAG